rnacentral:rRNA from 1 species
UACGUAGGGUGCGAGCGUUAAUCGGAAUUACUGGGCGUAAAGCGUGCGCAGGCGGUUCGUUGUGUCGGUGGUGAAAGCCCCGGGCUUAACCCUGGGAAUGGCCAUGGAAACUGGCGAACUGGAGUGUGGCAGAGGGGGGUGGAAUUCCGCGUGUAGCAGUGAAAUGCGUAGAUAUUCGCAAGAACACCAGUGGCGAAGGCGGCUCACUGGCCCGAUACUGACGCUGAGGUGCGAAAGCGUGGGGAGCAAACAGG